AAUAACUGCUCACACAGGUGACACAAAAUAAUGCAAAUAUUUUCAUUUAGUUCCACAGCUGCUGUUCGUGCUUUGAUAUUGAAAAGAAACGAACAAGCCAAGAAGGAAGUGAAAGAAGAAUUCAGCAAACUAAAGGAGGUUAAGAAACAUUUCAGUGAUGAAAGUUUCAAAGUGCUCACAGUGAGCUCUGACGAGUUUCUAGAAAAAACCUAUCUAGAUCGAGACGACACUGAAAUACCCAUACUUCAGGAAUUUCUGCAGGAUCUCAAUGACUGUCACUCAGAGACGUUAAACUAUGUGUCUGGAGCUCGUGGGAUUCUC